UACGGGGGAUGCAAGCGUUAUCCGGAAUCAUUGGGCGUAAAGCGCCUGUAGGUGGUUUAAUAAGUCUGUUGUUAAAGACUAGGGCUUAACCCUAGAAAAGCAAUGGAAACUACUAGACUUGAGUAUGGCAGGGGUAGAGGGAAUUUCUAGUGUAGCGGUGAAAUGCGUAGAUAUUAGAAAGAACACCAGUGGCGAAAGCGCUCUACUGGACCAUUACUGACACUCAGAGGCGAAAGCUAGGGUAGCAAAAGGGAUUAGAUACCCCUGUAGUCCUAGCCGUAAACGAUGGAUACUAGAUGUUGUACAUAAUGUACAGUACCGUAGCUAACGCGUUAAGUAUCCCGCCUGGGGAGUACGCUCGCAAGGGUG
rnacentral:rRNA from 1 species